rnacentral:rRNA from 1 species
GAUCCUGGCUCAGGAUGAACGCUAGCUACAGGCUUAACACAUGCAAGGUCGAGGGGCAGCGCGGGUCUGCUUGCAGACCCUGGCGGCGACCGGCGGAUGGGUGAGUAACGCGUAUCCAACCUGCCCCUGUCCCGGGGACAGCCCUUAGAAAUGAGGAUUAACCCCCGAUGGCGCGGAUCAGCCGCAUGACUUAUCCGCCAAAUGUGAAGGACAGGGAUGGGGAUGCGUUCCAUUAGGUUGCAGGCGGGGUAACGGCCCACCUGGCCGACGAUGGAUAGGGGUUCUGAGAGGAAGGUCCCCCCACACUGGAACUGAGACACGGUCCAGACUCCUACGGGAGGCAGCAGUGAGGAAUAUUGGUCAAUGGGCGGAAGCCUGAACCAGCCAUGCCGCGUGAAGGAAUGAGGCCCUAUGGGUCGUAAACUUCUUUUGACGGGGAGCAAUAAGGCGUACGUGUACGCCGAUGAGAGUACUCGUCGAAUAAGCAUCGGCUAACUCCGUGCC